AGAUUGAACGCUGGCGGAAUGCUUUACACAUGCAAGUCGAGCGGCAGCGCGGGGCAACCUGGCGGCGAGCGGCGAACGGGUGAGUAAUGCAUCGGAACAUGUCCAUGUCGUGGGGGAUAGCCCGGCGAAAGCCGGAUUAAUACCGCAUACGCCCGAGAGGGGAAAGUGGGGGACCGCAAGGCCUCACGCGAUUGGGUUGGCCGAUGUCCGAUUAGCUAGUUGGCGGGGUAAGAGCCCACCAAGGCGAUGAUCGGUAGCUGGUCUGAGAGGAUGAUCAGCCACACUGGGACUGAGACACGGCCCAGACUCCUACGGGAGCAGCAGUGGGGAAUAUUGACAAU
rnacentral:rRNA from 1 species